rnacentral:lncRNA from 1 species
AAGAAACUGGCCACAGAGAGAGGAAUCGACCUCUCACAGGUGAAAGGUGAGGCAUCUUUUCCGAGGUCACAUCAGCCCCCUAAAAUGGUUUGGUUGCCUCUUGGGUGAGAGAGAUCCUGUUUUCCCUUGCACGUCUCAUCAGGUACAGGGCCAGAUGGACGGAUCACCAAGAAGGACAUCGACUGCUCGGCCGUCUAAAGUUGCCCCGGCCCGGCCGCCGGAUGCAGCCCCUCUGGCUGUGCCGGCUCCCGCAGCUGCCCCCACAGGUGUCUUCACUGAUAUUCCCAUCAGUAAUAUCCUAAAGGUAAGUCAAAGCCUUGGCGCUCGCAUGCCACAGGCAAACAGACAGAUUGAACAGGGUUUAGCCUUGGCCUCUGUACGAUGCGAAUUGAAGCCCGCACAUCUUACAAUGGUCAAGGAUUAGGUUAGGUUAGACUAUGUAAAGAUAGACAGGCAGAUAUAAAAGAUAGAUUGAUUGAUAGAUAGCUAUAAAAGAUAGACAGAUAUAAAAGAGAUAGAUGAUACAGACAGGAGAGAGAGAGGAAGGAAGGAAGGAAAGAAAGAAAGAGAGAAAGAAAAAAGAAAGGGAAGGAAGGAAGGAAGAAGGAAAGAAAAAGAAAGAAAUGAAUGAAUGGGAAAUUCAACUUCUGAGUUGGUGAUGGGGGACAUUUGCAUUCAAAGGUCCCUCCGGACAGAGAAAGUUGGAGUAAGAAUUAGGCAGAAAUGAUUAGACAAAGCUGACAUCAGGGACCAAGUUUUUGGAGGACAUUGUUAACUAAUAGUUGGGGAUCUGCUUUUCUGGAUAUUUGAACAAUGGUGCACCAAAAACUCCCAGCUUUAGUCUGGUCUACAUUAAAGUGGUUAACUUCAUCUUUAAGUAAUGUUGCCUUCUUAUGUGUAUCCUGCUUUCUUUAUUCUUAGGUGAUUGCCCAGCGUUUGAUGCAGUCUAAGCAAACGAUACCUCACUAUUAUCUCUGUUGAUGUCAACAUGGGAGAAAUAUUGGUGCUGAGGAAAGAGCUCAACCAGGUAGCUUAAUGACUGUGACUUAUGCAGCAAACUGGAUGUUUAUGCGGUUCUGCCUCUCUUAUCCUUCCAAUUAGCUGGAUAUUUCCUCAAGUUUGCAUUUCUAGGAGGUGGAGAAUGUAAGGGAGAGAUACUGUAAUUCAUUCAGGGCUAAUUCCACAGGAAACCACAAACUGUACGCUUAAAAGAAGUAACACUUAAAUGUGAUAAAUCAAAUUAAACCUCUGGGCUUUAAAGGAAAGAAAAAGCAUUUCUUUGUAGAACUUGGCUUUGAGAAAAAUAUGUGCGUUCCGUUUGGACAGCAUAGGAACAGCAAGAUGUGGAUGGAAUCCCAGUUUCUUAGCUGGGUUGUUCUGGCUGCAUAAUCCCAAGUGUUGCAGUUCUGAUGGCAAUAGGAUCACACACAUCUGGCUGUUGGUUUUCUUGAAUGAAGUGCUUUCCUGAUACAUGGGCUUCAGUUCCCAGAAUUCUCCAGCCAGCUGGGACAUUGCUGAAAAACCCUGGGAAUUGAAAGUCGGUUGUUUCUGGAGGUUCUCCAGUUGGGAAGAGAAUAAUUCUUUGGUAACUUUGCUCACUGAUCAAUUUGACCAGCAUUUCUUCCCUUGGCUGUUCCUCUCCAGGAGAUGCCACAGAAUACCAAACUCUCAGUCAACGACUUCAUUAUCAAAGCCGCUCUGGCAUGUUUGAAGGUGCCUGAAGCGAAUUCUUCAUGGUUAGAAACAGUCAUUAGGCAGUAAGUAUGACAGAUGGUCCAGGCAGGGGUGAAGGUUUGGCUCCUCCUAGAAGGCCAGUUAGACCAUUGAAAUUUCAAGCAGCAUCUUUGCCCUAUGGUUUUGUGAGUGGUUGUGGAUUCUCCCAACGGGACCCAUUUUCUGUCUUUCAGAAAUCACGUAGUUGAUGUAAGCGUGGCAGUCAGUACACCAGCAGGGCUUAUAACGCCAAUUGUGUUUAAUGCACACACCAAGGGGUUGGCCACCAUUAACCAAGAUGUCGUG